AACCCGGGCAGGUGGAGGUCGUCAGCCGUGGUAGGCAAUCUUCCUAGGAGAGCAAACUCCGAACAACAAACCCGGGCAGGUGGAGCUCGUCAGCCGUGGUAGGCAAUCUUCCUAGGAGAGCAAACUCCGAACAACAAACCCGGGCAGGUGGAGGUCGUCAGCCGUGGUAGGCAAUCUGCCUAGGAGAGCAAACUCCGAACAAUAAACCCGGGCAGGUGGAGCUCGUCAGCCGUGGUAGGCAGUCUGCCUAGGAGAGCAAACUCCGAACAAUAAACCCGGGCAGGUGGAGCUCGUCAGCCGUGGUAGGCAGUCUGCCUAGGAGAGCAAACUCCGAACAAUAAACCCGGGCAGGUGGAGGUCGUCAGCCGUGGUAGGCAAUCUUCCUAGGAGAGCAAACUCCGAACAAUAAACCCGGGCAGGUGGAGCUCGUCAGCCGUGGUAGGCAGUCUGCCUAGGAGAGCAAACUCUAAACAAACCCGGGCAGGUGGAGGUCGUCAGCCGUGGUAGGCAAUCUGCCUAGGAGAGCAAACUCUAAAUAAACCCGGGCUUGUGGUGCUCGUUAUACUGUCUUAGACAAUCCACGCGAUGGGAACACCAAAGAAAAGGAAAAUAAAAAAGAACACCAGAAAAAUGGAAAAUACAGAAACGAAACAUCAAGAAAAGAAACAAAAAGAUCAUCCACCUUUAGGCCCUAACAUCGCCAAAAUUAUGGGUGGGUCUCUUCUGGGGAGAAAGCGGCUCACCCAGACCAAAGAACAUCAACAA